CGGAUAGUAGCGCAGAGGCUAGCGCACUUGCUUCGGGAGCAAGAUGUCGGAGGUUCAAGUCCUCUCUAUCCGA
rnacentral:tRNA from 1 species